ensembl:lncRNA
UUUAUCUCUCUUCUCCAAUUGUGACACCAAUAAUAUCAGUGAAAGGCACAAUAUUUUGAAUGUAGACAAUGCAUUUUUCCACUCUUGGGAGGUUUUUGCAGAAACUAGCCGGAAAAUCAUCAUCUUGACACAGGUACCUGGCAUGGAAAACAGCUGACGUUUGCCAAGGAAAGAUACUUCAAUGUCUUCGAUGUUGGUAAUGCUGAAGAGCAGCAACAUGAAAUGCAUGAACAGAAGAGUCGUUUUCAGCACUAGUGUGUUUCUGGAAGGUGCUACCGCAGAGGAAAAUGAUGGCCCUCAUUCAACAAUUUUUUAUAUUUGGACUGUUUUGAUCUCAUUCCAUUUUCAUGGGAGACAGUAUCAUCUUCACUGACUUAACUGGGUUUAGACAGAGUCAGCCUGACAGUGUCUAGUGCUAUUAUUCUUCUUGCCACUUAUGUAUGCCUCCUCACAGACUAUGAUAUCACAACUCAUUAAUCAGGCAGCAGGCUGGCUUGAGUGAGAUCACAGCAUGGGCCAAUGCCAGUGCUCUUUUUGUCUGAUUCAUCAGGUGAUUUUUUUUUUUUUUCCCACUGUGGUCGCAGAAG